UACGUAGGGGGCUAGCGUUGUCCGGAAUCAUUGGGCGUAAAGCGCGCGUAGGCGGCCCGGUAAGUCCGCUGUGAAAGUCCAGGGCUCAACCCUGGAAAGCCGGUGGAUACUGCCGGGCUAGAGUCCGGAAGAGGCGAGUGGAAUUCCUGGUGUAGCGGUGGAAUGCGCAGAUAUCAGGAGGAACACCAAUGGCGAAGGCGGCAUCCUGGACCAACACUGACGCUGAUGAGCGAAAGCCAGGGGAGCAAACGGG
rnacentral:rRNA from 1 species